rnacentral:lncRNA from 1 species
CCGAGGAGUCCCUGGAGCUUCCCUGGGACUCUGGAGAGCCGCGUGUGGUCCAGGAGGAGGCGGGAGGACUGUGGCACCCAGCAUCGCUGGAGGCAGAAGUGCCCACCCUGGCGGAGCUCCGGCUCAAGGGAGCCCAGGAGGUCCAGCUGCCUCUCUGCGCCCAGGCUCUGGUGCCACCAUUCCUUGACUCGCCCAGCCUCUCCCCGUGUUUUCCCGUGGGAGGGUUGGUGCUCCCCGCCUUUCUCAUGAGCUGGGUCACGGGAGGAGGGGCGCUCAUCAACCGUGGCUCGUAACCGCCAGGCCAAGCCUGUCAGUGCAGGCAGAAUCUGGG